CCCUUAGAUGUUCUGGGCCGCACGCGUGCUACACUGAUGCAUUCAACGAGUCUAAAACCUGGUCUGAUAGGGCUGGGUAAUCUUUUGAAAGUGCAUCGUGAUUGGGAUAGAUGAUUGCAAUUCUUCAUCUUCAACGAGGAAUGCCUAGUAAACGCAAGUCAUCAGCUUGCAUUGAUUACGUCCCUGCCCUUUGUACACACCGCCCGUCGCUCCUACCGAUUGAAUGAUCCGAUGAAUAUCAUGGAUUGAGAGUACGAAUGGGUUCGCUCAUUUCUGCUGCUCGAGAAGUGAAGUAAAGCUUAUCAUUUAGAGGAAGGAGAAGUCGUAACA
rnacentral:rRNA from 1 species